rnacentral:lncRNA from 1 species
AUGGGACAUCAGUCAACAGGAGGCAGAAUUGCUACAGUCACUAAUGGCAGAUGCUACGGACACCCUUGAAGGAAGAAGAAACAAUAAAGAACUUGUGUGGAAUACAAUCCAAAAGGUUGGACGAAAUGAAGACUUUCUAUACCAAUUAGAGGACAGUUUCCUAAAAACUAAAAAACUGAGAACUCCUCAAAAGCAAAAACCAAAAAUGAGGCGUCUUCAAACUGUUCAGCAA